rnacentral:lncRNA from 1 species
GGUGUAGAUAUUUUUCAGCCCUUGAAUUUUCUUUCUUUCACCUUUCCACUCCUCUCUGGUGCUAAGGAGCCUAAGACGAGAAGAUAACCCCAGUUGUAUUCACGGUGGGUUAUAUGCUUUUUCAUAUUUUUCCUAAUAUGGACAGUGUUUAUUCUCCAUCUCUCCUUUCACUUCUCACGUUAACGGCAAUGAUAAUAAAAGAGCAUCGAAAGUGAUCAAAGAAAAUAUAGUGAAGAAAGAAAGAAUCCAGGGGCUUGGAGACCAGAAGAGACUUCAAUGUAUCUGAGGCCACGUGGCUGAGAUGGGGCUCCCACGGUGCAGCACAUGGCACAGGCUUAGCAAAUCGAAUCAGCACAGCCCAUGCACAAGGCAUUGGAUCUUGUUCAGAGACAGGCAUUGUAGCCUAGAACCUUCACAUCAGACUGGUCGUCAGAACUCUGGCAUGGCCACAGGAACAGAGCUGCUUUCUGCCCUGCUGGACUCGAGCUUGGAAAGUUGAGCCCUCACCUUGCUGUCCAGAUGACCUCCUUCCAGAAUGGCCUCCAGGACCUGCCAAGGCUCUGGACCUCCUGUCUGACUCCCAGAAGUUCCUCUACUUCAGAGGACUCAUGUUGGAUUUCUUUCAACAUUCAUUCUCUGAGUAUUUUCAGAUUUGUACUUGAAUUUGAGUAGAGACUAUCAGCUGUCCCCUUCUUCCUCUGUGCCCUUUGGGCAUGGCACAUGGUUCACCAGGAUACAAGAUGACAUUUCCUUGCUUCCCUUGCAGCUAGGCACAGCUGGUAUGUCUGUUCUGUCAUGGGACAUGACACAGAGCUUCUGGGUCAAGAGCUUCUGGGUCCUGCACUUAAAAGAAGGCAGCAGGCUCCUGGCUUACCCUUUGUCCCUCUCCCUGGCUGGAGUUCAUGGUGGUGAUGAGCUAUCUUGGAUUGCACUGACUGUAGCAACAUUUUGGGGUGAUGGAGCCACAAGCUGGCAGGAGUCUGGGUACCUGCCACCUUUGCAGAGUGGAAGCUGCUACAAGAACUCAAACACACAAACAAGAGAGAAAUCUGCUCUAUCUUGAUGAACCAGGGAUUUGGGGGCUGCUGUCACAGAAGCUGAUCCCUUUAUCCUACUCAAUCUACACCCACCAUGGUUACAGGGGUGACCACUGUGGUUUUAAGAUGGUCGCUUGCCCUUGUCUGCUCCACGGGAGGAAGGCGAGGCAUGCAGAGCCUCAGCCCAGGCAGCCGGUGAAGUAUUAAGGUGAUUUGCUUUCAUCCUACACUUAAGCUGCAGUGCUUCCUUCUAAGGUGGGGAAAUUAAAGACAUGAUGAAUGAGGCGUCUUUGCCAUUUAGCCGGCCUAGUUUACACACCCCUGGUGAGAAAAUACUGCAUUGGAGAUGGAACAAGCAGGGAAUAAUAAGGACCACUUAUGAAGAAUUAAUGUGAUGCUGAAAACAGAAAGAAAAAAAACUUAUUAGGUUACCCAGGAAAGGCAUGGAGAACAGCCUUACGGAACAACCUGUCAUGAUGUCUUUGAGAAAAGAAGUAAGAGGUCUGAAGGGCCAAUUUAAAGUUAUUAAGAUAAUCUCUCUAUGUUAAGAGACUGUCUCUUUUCGUACCGCUUUUAAAAAAUAGGUGUUGCUACGUUUUCUCCUGAACCACAACCUCAAAUAUUUUGCCAACUUAAGAGGCUUGGGUGUCAUUUCAGAAUGCUUGGCGCCAAGCCACAUGGGCUUGUGCAAAGUGACAGAGGAGAGAGAGAUGCGGUUUCCAGUUUUGCGGAGGCUGUAGUUUGGGGUAGAUGGUGGUGGGAAGGUAGACGCGCAUUGGAUCCUUAUUUGGGGUUAUUGGGAUAGUCUAACUGGUUGACGGUAUCUUCCUGGAUCACUCCCCCCAACACCCCACCCAUCUCUUCUCUGCCCCACUGCCCUCCCUCGCUCUCCAUCCUCCCAUUGGCUGGGCUUGCAAGUACUAGCACACCAUCUUGAAUCAUAUCAACAAGGGCAGCCUCUAGUGCCAGGAGAAAAGAGACUGGGCUUCUGAUGGCAUUGCAGAGCAGAGGCACCAAACCACUUUGGAUCUCUAUGGAACAGAAAAAAUUACGUUUUUGAAAUUCAUACCACUUUAAACAAAGUCUCUUUUGCAAGCAAUUGGCCCAUAUCCUAAGUCAUACACUUCUUUAUGUGGGUUCCUUAACACUGCACACCUCUUCUUUAUAGCAUUUGCCAUAGUUGCAACUGAAUACUUUUUGGCAUGCAUCUUUUCUAACCAACAAUGACGUCCACACGGUCAUCGUCCAGACCUAAUGAACCCUAAUAUGCCCACUGCUUAGAAGGCACUUAAUAAUUAUUUGACUGAUGAAUAUAAAUACAGAAGUUCAGGUGCUUCCUCUAAGACCUUCCAAUCAGGCUGCUGUAGUCAGAGGUCCCUAACUGGGAGGGUUUAACAGGCAUGCAGAAGGCAGCGUGUGAAGACUCUUCCGUUUUCAAGCUUUUAGGGGAACAGCCUGAGCUUUCCUGCUCCCUGCAAGUCUCUGAUUUCUGAGAGGCAGCCUGGCAUGAAAAAAUAAAGAUGAAGAAGCUCUAUAUUUCCUUAUGAUUAGCAAAUUUCAAGCUUGGGCAAAGCCAUGAAGUUCUUGCCAACUGGAAUGACAUCUUAACAAAAUGUCUAUAUGUCCAGCAGUGCCUAGUACAACAUUGACAUAAAAACUUUGCUUCAUAAAUCCCUCACUGCAUGAAGAAUAAAUCCUCCCCCUGCCUUUAUCACAGCUGUUGAGAGGAGGAGAGCUGGCAGGGAGGUCUGGGGGAAGGAAAGAAGCCAUGGGGCAUGACAGUAGCUUUGGUUUUUGCUUGCAUUUCCCUUCCAAAACCUUGCGGCUCCAUCAUUGACUCCUAGGGCGCCCUUCUUUCAGCACAUAGAGACUGUCUGAGCCUCUUCCUUUAUCUGUACGGUGGGACAACAGGCUCUAAUUCAAUAUAUCAUGACAAGCAUCAUUCAUUUAUCUAGUCAUUCAGCAUUCAUACUCUCAACACGAGGGCUCUCUGAUCCCAUUUCUUCAUCUGUAAACUAGAGACAAGAUAACUCAACAUAUUGUUACAAAGAUCUUUCACUCAGCAAUACAUGUAUUCAUGCAGCAAAUAUUUCCAUCCCUUCCCUGUGCCAGGAACUGAGUUAAGCCCUAAACACACAGACGUGAGGGCGAUAGGCACUUCCCUGCCAUGGUGAAAUCUGCAUUCUCAUGGAGAGACAGAUGGCAAACAAAGAAACAAGGUGAUUCCAUACAGUUUUGACUGGGGACCACAUGUCAGACUAUGAUGGGAAUGAAGAAAGCAGAAACUCCUCAUUCUGGCCAUGAAAUACCUUAAAUGAGGCUUGGGUGCCAAAAGAAAUAAGCUUCCAGAGGAGAAACUGGAAAGGGAGAAGGGGAGAGGGAAAUAGUUCACAUUGCAGGAAGAAGCAAACAGAAGGUGUGCUUUCAAUGACCCAGCCUGCAGCCUGACCCUGUGGGAAGCUCUGAGUCCAACCGUGUCCAUGACAAUUCAGAGUUGUCUGCAGUGGGGGAGAUGGGGCUGAGCUUUCGUAUUCCACACCUGUCCAUCAUCAGCAAAGAGGAUCCCAGGAAGAAGCUCCCAGGCUCUUCUAAGAAUCCGCACAAGUGCACAAAAGUGAGGGGCAGCCCCAGGUGGUGCAGUGACGGAAGCAGGUUCAGGAUGACAGAGCCAACCCCAUGAUUACAGACUGAAUUGUUCCCUCCAAAAUUCAUCUCACAAAGCCCUCUGCCCCAGUGUGACUAUAUUUGGAGAGCAGGCUUUUAAGAUGGUAAUUAAGGUUAAAUAAAGUCCUAAGAGGGGGCUCUAAUCCCACAGGACUGGUGUCCUUACGGGAAGAUGAAGAAGCCAAGUUCAGUGGCUCACACCUGUAAUCUCAGCACUUUGGGAGGCCGAGGUAGGUGGAUCACUUGAGCUCAGGAGUUUGAACCCAUCCUGGGCAACAUGAUGAAACCCUAUCUCUACAAAAAAUGCAAACAUUAGCUGGGCUUGGUGGUGCAUGCCUGUAGUCUCAGCUACUUGGCGGAUCGCUUGAGAGGAGGAUCGCUUGAGCCCAGGAAGUCAAGGCUACAGUGAGUCCUGUUUACACCACUGCACCCCAGGCUGGGUGACAGAGCGAGACCCUGUCUCGAAAAAAAAAAAAAGACAAGACACCAGGAGCUUCUCUCUCUCCAUGCACAGAGGAAAGGCCCUCUGAGGACACAAGAUGCCGAGAGGGUGGCGAACUGCAAGCCAGGAAGAGAUCCCUCACCAGAAACCACCCUUGACAGCACCCUGACCUCGGACUUUCCAGAAUUCAGAUGGUGAGAAAAUAAAUUUCUGUGUUUUAAGCCAACCAGUCUGUGGAAUUUUGUUCAGGCAGCCCUAGCUGGCUAACACACCUACCGAGGGAUAUAGAGCAGUGAAAGAGAUUUAACGGGAACCAGGGUGGAGCAGUGUCUGCCAGCUGGGGUGAUCCAUUGGGUGUAUUUCCUUUCAGGACAAGAAUAAGCACAAGCGACAGCUUGUCCUCCGAGGCAGACCUCCCAGGUUUGAAUUCCACCUCCAGCUCUUACUGAGUGGGUUUGAAAAAUGCAUCAUGUCUCGGUUCCCCCCAUGCAAAUUGAGGUCAUGGCUCACUGUGUCUACCUCGAAUGCUUGAAGGAGGAUUAGAUGCUUAGGAGGAUUAUAUGCAAAGCAUUUGGAGAGCGC